GGGCCCGCACAAGCGGCGGAGCAUGUUGCUUAAUUCGACGCAACGCGAAGAACCUUACCAAGGCUUGACAUGGCCUCAAAAGCCGCGGAGACGCGGUGUCCGCAAGGGGGGGUCACAGGUGGUGCAUGGCUGUCGUCAGCUCGUGUCGUGAGAUGUUGGGUUAAGUCCCGCAACGAGCGCAACCCUCGUCCUAUGUUGCCAGCGGGUAAUGCCGGGGACUCAUGGGAGACUGCCGGGGUCAACUCGGAGGAAGGUGGGGAUGACGUCAAGUCAUCAUGCCCCUUAUGCCUUGGGCUGCAAACAUGCUACAAUGGCCGGUACAAAGGGCUGCGAUGCCGUGAGGCGGAGCGAAUCCCGGAAAGCCGGCCUCAGUUCGGAUCGGGGUCUGCAACUCGACCCCGUGAAGUCGGAGUCGCUAGUAAUCGCGAAUCAGCAACGUCGCGGUGAAUACGUUCCCGGGCCUU
rnacentral:rRNA from 1 species